UGGGGAAUCUUGGACAAUGGGCGCAAGCCUGAUCCAGCCAUGCCGCGUGAGUGACGAAGGCCUUAGGGUUGUAAAGCUCUUUUGGCGGGGACGAUAAUGACGGUACCCGCAGAAUAAGUCCCGGCUAACUUCGUGCCAGCAGCCGCGGUAAUACGAAGGGGACUAGCGUUGUUCGGAAUUACUGGGCGUAAAGCGCACGUAGGCGGAUUUGUAAGUCAGGGGUGAAAUCCCGGGGCUCAACCUCGGAACUGCCUUUGAUACUGCAAAUCUCGAGUCCGAUAGAGGUGGGUGGAAUUCCUAGUGUAGAGGUGAAAUUCGUAGAUAUUAGGAAGAACACCGGUGGCGAAGGCGGCCCACUGGAUCGGUACUGACGCUGAGGUGCGAAAGCGUGGGGAGCAAACA
rnacentral:rRNA from 1 species